rnacentral:rRNA from 1 species
AGCGAACGCUGGCGGCAGGCUUAACACAUGCAAGUCGAGCGGAUGUAGCAAUACAUCAGCGGCAGACGGGUGAGUAACACGUGGGAACGUACCUUUUGGUUCGGAACAACACAGGGAAACUUGUGCUAAUACCGGAUAAGCCCUUACGGGGAAAGAUUUAUCGCCGAAAGAUCGGCCCGCGUCUGAUUAGCUAGUUGGUGAGGUAACGGCUCACCAAGGCGACGAUCAGUAGCUGGUCUGAGAGGAUGAUCAGCCACAUUGGGACUGAGACACGGCCCAAACUCCUACGGGAGGCAGCAGUGGGGAAUAUUGGACAAUGGGCGCAAGCCUGAUCCAAGCCAUGCCGCGUGAGUGAUGAAGGCCCUAGGGUUGUAAAGCUCUUUUACCCGGGAAGAUAAUGACUGUACCGGAGAAUAAGCCCCGGCUAACUUCGUGCCAGCAGCCGCGGU